CACACACACUCUCUCUCAUACACACACAGUCAGGCCACAUGUUCAGCAGCCAGCCUGUUGUAUCCACCGCAGAUGAACCGACUGAACUGUGCAUAGAAAGACCAGGCAGCUGACGUCUGGCUGUGAGCAGAGAGCUAGACGUGAAGCAGAGCAGGAGUCACAGUCCACGCGACGAGAUAUCCUGAAAACUGAUCAGGAAGCAACUGAAAUCAGCUUGUUUAGGAAAUCUGGAGUCUGGGGCUGAGGGACAAUAAGGAACCAGCAGCCACAAAAAGGCAUUUCUUGGACCUCAGCAGCCCAGGACUUGACCCUGAACAGCAGGAAAGAUGGAGUGCAGCAGGGAUUAUAACGGCUACAGCUUGACAUUGGUCAAACCGAGGCCUCCUCCAUCAACACAAAGCCAGACGGACUCUUUCCUGACCGCAGCCCGGUUGGCCCGCGAAGGACUGCUGGAGGACGGAAGAACAGGACGGCAGUUUUCUGCUCUUGGACAGUCUCCUUCUAGUUCACAAGAAAACCAUGGUGCUGUCUUGAAAGGCCUGAGGAUCAGGCGGUACACCAUCGUCUCCAGGAGGAAGAUGGAAACCGGCAGAAAGACGAACAAUGAAGAGGGAAAGCAGACCCCUCAAGGUGCCUCCACAGCAAAAAUAGAAGCAGAGAGACAGAAGGUGUGUUUCAGUGCAUCUGACUGUCGCUUCACAUGUAGACAACCUGGAAGGUUUAAAGUUGCAGUGUUACCUGUAAUAGCAGAAAUUUAGGCAACAUUAUAGUCAGAGUUCCAGACUUGUUGGUAAAUUUGUGGUUUUGAGGUUUGAAAAACACCUGAAGGCUAAUGUUUGGUUAUUCCUAACAUCAGCACUAUCUAGUUUAAGAGAAAGUCUAAGAUUAAGCAUUUGACUUACGUACUGAGACUACAGGAGACAGCCAUCAGCCUUUUAUUAAAUACAUCACCUGAAGUCAGUAGUUUGUAUUUGACUGUUUUCCAACUAAGACACACUGGCUUCACCUUGCAACCUUAAGGCAGUGGCAGUGACACCCAUAGUUUCAGGGGGGAAAACAUUGAUAUUUGAACACAUUUCAAUUUACUAGAGAUUAAAACACUGACAUCUAGUGGCCGUAAGUGGAUGUUCAGUUGCACAAGAUUUUUCCCGUUACAACCUGUAACUAAUAUAUUUUAUUUGGAUAGUAGCACAUUAUUGUAUGGGGAAGGGAACCGCCAAUAUAUUUUUUUUAUUGUUUAAAAAAAAUAGUUUUUUUUAUUUUUACAUUUUUGUCAUUAAAAACACCCUGGAAAGUGUGGAGUGCAUUUCUGUCCAAGCAAUCGCACAAAGAUCUAGGGAGACUGAUGUAAGACAGACAUGAAGACAAGCGCAAAAUAAAAUGGCUUUUGCAUUAUCAUACUAUAAUGUAAUAUAGUCAAGCUAAAAAUACCACUGUGGUCAGUAAGUACACAUCAGCAAGAAAAACCAGUUGGUUGACUGGUUUAUUUAUUGUGCCCCGCCACGUUUCUUGAAUUUAUUUCUGUUGAGCGACCAUGCUACUUUCAUUUGGCGGUUGUUAAUUUAACCAAGUACAUAAAACCUUUACAGGAAGGUUUGCCGAAGCAGUAAAAUGUUAGUUUUCUGCAUGUCAACUGUGUUUCUCUCCGAUCUUCCAAAAUUUGUACUCCUGCAAAUAAUAUAUGAACAAAUAUAUAACAUAGGCAAAUGCUACAUUUGCAAUAUAUCAUCUUAAGAGACUCCACUGAGCAUCUCAGGUAAGACCCUGUUGGUCUGCUGUAACAUAAUGAAUGACAUUUUAUAGCCAAUAUUAUGAUAACUGUGUUCAGAGGCUCUUCAGACGUUGACCAGAGGCCCAACACUUGAAAGGACUUCAUGCCAAUCUUCAAUAUAUCAUAAAAUUAGAAUAUAAUAAAAAAGUUGAUUUAUGUCAGUAAUUCCAGUCAAAAAGUGAAACUUGUAUAUUAUGAUCGUUCAUUACACAGAUUGAUGUUUUUCAAAUGGUUAUUUCUUUUAAUGUUGAUGAUUACAACUCACAACUAAUGAAAAAUCCAAAUUCAGUAUCUCAAGAAAUUACAAUAUUACUCAAGAAAACAAUACAAAAAAAGAAGGAUUGUAGAAAUGUUG